AAGAAGAAGAGCUACAGUGCCGUCAAAACGGCACCGUUUUGGGCUUCUGUUUUUUUUUUUUUUUUUUUUUUUUUUUUUUUUUUUUUUUUUUUUUUUUUUUUUUUUUUUUUUUAGCAACAGUGAAUGAAACGGCGCCGUUUUGGUCAAAACGCGCCGUUUCAUUUAAAAGGAAAAGGCGCCAAAAGCAUCAGAUUCAAAUUUCGGCCCUCC
rnacentral:lncRNA from 1 species